rnacentral:rRNA from 1 species
GACGAACGCUGGCGGCGUGCUUAACACAUGCAAGUCGAGCGGUAAGGCCCUUUCGGGGGUACACGAGCGGCGAACGGGUGAGUAACACGUGGGUGACCUGCCCUCAGCUCUGGGAUAAGCCUGGGAAACCGGGUCUAAUACCGGAUAUGACUCCAUGACGCAUGUUGUGGGGUGGAAAGCCUUGUGCGGCUGAGGAUGGGCCCGCGGCCUAUCAGCUUGUUGGUGGGGUGAUGGCCUACCAAGGCGACGACGGGUAGCCGGCCUGAGAGGGCGACCGGCCACACUGGGACUGAGACACGGCCCAGACUCCUACGGGAGGCAGCAGUGGGGAAUUGUUCGCAAUGGGCGCAAGCCUGACGACGCAACGCCGCGUGGAGGAU